rnacentral:pre_miRNA from 1 species
AAUGAGAUAGCUGGGCCAUAUUAUGGUUCCAUUCCUAGCUUUUGAGGAAUUUCCAUACUGCUUUCCAAAGCAGUUGUACUAAUUUGCAGUUCCACCAGCAAU